UUUUCUAUAAUAUUGUGUGCCUCUGCAGAGAUAGGGAAGCCAAGAAAGCCCUGUGGAGGAAAUCUAUAUGGAUUUCAUAAGUCGGUUACUCACUUUCUUUUCUCACAGUACAGGGAGCUUAGUUGAUGGUGUUAAGAACAGAAAUUGUAUUUCCAGUAAGAAAACACAAUAGUGCAUAUUGGAAUUCAACACAAUAGUGCAUACUGGAAUUCAACACAAUAGUGCAUACUGGAACUCACUUUUGAACUUUAGAAUAUGAUAAAGCUUGAUGGUACAUAAGUAGGUCUGUGAAACAUCUAUAUUAACCACAAUAUGCUACAUUUGACAGAUUCAUCUGGUAGAGAAAUAAGGAUCUCAGAAACUUCUGCUUCUACCCAUAAAGUUUAUACCAAUAUGGUCCAAGAAAGAGAUCCCUAGGUGGCUCGAUUUUAAAUGCCCCCCGAGUUUUUAUACAUAGAUAUGUAAAUGCAUACACAAGUUUCUUCUGAAAGAAUGAAUGAUGAUUCCCUCUGGAGAGAAUGGAUUAAACAGCACGUUUGUAUGGAGGUAGACUUUACUUUCUAUUCCUGUGCUAUUUUAUAAUAGUUAUAUACUCAUGUAUUUCUCAUGUAAUUUUCAAAAGUCUAAAAGAAAUGAAAAAAAUUACUUAAAAGAAUUACUUAUGGCUAACACACUGAUCAUUUAGGGAUAGAAUGCUGGUCUAGGAGCCAAGUGAUCUGCUAAAACCUGGCUGUGUCAUUUAACCUAAAAGGUUCUCUACUGAUUUGUAAAAUGAGGUGGCUGAAUUAGAUCAUUUCUUUGAUUCUAUGAUCCUUCUGUGUAAAUGGGAAAGCCAAUUUGAAUUAGAUGAAGUCUAAAUUAAAUAGUGCUUUAAAAGAAGUAUCAUUUUCUAACAUUAAGACAAUUUGAAUUAGAUGAAGUCUAAAUUAAAUAGUGCUUUAAAAGAAGUAUCAUUUUCUAACAUUAAGGUAAACUGACAGUUUCUCCAAGUUAUCCUUACCAUUUUGUUCAAGGUUUGCAGAAGCUGCCUUUAUAAAUCAGAAGAAUUUAUAAAGUAGGGAAUGCGAAGAGUUCUGUGAUGUUUGGGUUGAUGUUCUGGUAUCCCCUUUGGAGUCCCAAGCCUUACAAUGUACUAUGUCCAGCAAGCACGUUUAGAGACAAAAUAGCUUGAUGUGUUUUGAUCAUUUCAUCAAAGCUACUGAAAUCAAUUCUAUGCUUUCAUUUUUUAAGCUGGGUUAAAAAAAAGUUUAAUUGUCCCUUGUUGAAUGAACAGAACAGCUGGGGCUGGGUAGCUUUUUGUUCUCUCUUUUUGAGAGUAGGCUAAGAUGGAAAGCUAUUGUUUGAGGCAUACCAGAUUCUAGAGCACAACCAAAAGACCACAUAAAGCAAUUAGCCCAUAUUCCAAAAAUGCAACAAGUAAUAACUAUAGAAACUUGUUGGAGACCUUUGAAAUUCCCAUAUCAAGGAAAUACUCGAACUUCUAAGGCUUAGCUGUGAGAAGACCUGUUAAAUCUUUCUGGAGCACCUGGGCUUACUCAUGUUCUGAGCCUGCUAGCGUCUUGUUCAGGAGAGGAAAGACUGAGCGUAUGGCCUUAUUUCCUACUCGGGAAUGAGAAUGGACUUCUGCCGGGGACCCUGGAGAGGGAUUGAGGGUGAAGGAGCCUGUGUCAGAAAGUCAGUUCAAGAAAGUUGAAGGUCUCAGGGACAGAGCUGAGGUCAGAUUCAUCCAAGGGUUGAGAAAGGUAUCUGAUGAGUCACAGCCUCAGAAAAUCAUAAAGUGAUCUAAAUCCUGACCACAAACAAAUGUAAAUCAGAGAGACUGAGGGCCAUGUAACUGCCUGUAUCACUCCCAUCCCCCUGGCCAGAGAUGACACCCUCAAUGGACCCCUGUCUUAGUUCCUGGAAUUCUCUCCGAAGUUUGAGGUUCCAUCUGAACCAGAAGGACACAUGAGGAAAUGAGCUCGAGAGCCAAGAUGUCUGCUGAGUGAGCAGGCCACCCCGCCUCUACUGAGCACAAAGUACCCCAAAGCCCAAUGUAAAGUCCUGUUCCACUUUCUUGAACUGACUUUCUGACACCCAGAAACAUCCCCUUUGAGUAUUGCUCACAUUUCCUAACAGACCAGCACACUGUCUGAUACUAUCAAGAAAUAAACUAUCUUGUCCCUUCUGCAUGAAUAUAAUUCCAAAUCAAAGUGGAAUUGCAUUUUUCUCCUAUAUUCAUAAAAUAGGUUUGAUAAAAUGUUCUCAUAGUUUCCUGCAUUUCUUUUUUAAUAUGACAUUUUCUUCAUAUCACAGCUUUAGUACUUGCCUUAAUAUGGCAAAAUGAUAGUAAUUUCUGUACUUAUUUCAGGGACAAAUGUGCAAUGUGAUUUUUUAAACAUUAAUUUAAAGCAAAUUUGCUAUGCAUUUUUAUUCAAUCUUGAGCCUAAAGUGAAGCUUGUACUUAUGCAAACAGUAAGAUGAAUGCCUGGAUUUUAGUAAAAUAGUAAAAAAAAAAAAAAAACAACAAAAAACUAAUUAAAAGUUAAGUAGAUGGGGAUUUAAUCUCUUCAAUUUAAAAUCCCUUAGCUUAGAUCUCUCGUUAGAAGGGCUUCAUAAAAACAAGCUGUAAACAUUCUCCAUAAUUAAACACGAGUAUAUGAUCUAUGAAAAAACUUGGCCCUCAGGCCAUAUAUAUUUAAAUAUACAAAAUUACAUUUGUAUUUGAUUCUCUUGUAAUUAGCUCCAUCCUCCAGUGAAAUGCAUUUGGGUAUACAACUGUCUUGUUUCUAUACCUCCACCAGGGAUCAUAUUAAAAAAUGCUUCUUCCCAUAAACUGUGAAGUAUUAAUUGAUAAGCCACAGGGAACUUGCACUACAGCAUGUCCCUACCACUUAAUAUUGGUGUUGACUUAGUUUAUGGGAUUGAAUUAUUCAUCAGAAUCUUUUUACAUGAUGUCAUUGCAACCCAAGAGCUAAGAGCUGUCAGAGCAUCUACAGGAUAGUGAUGGAGAAAAGAGAAUUUUACUUAUAAACCAAAUAAUCACCUUAACUUAAUCCUUGUACUUCCCAUACUCAGUAACGGAAGCUUACUGCUAAAGCCCUAUCAUUUUUUAACAUGAAGGUAUUCAUGCACACCCAAAAUGGUCUAAAUUAAGCUGCAAUUCUGUGAGGCAGGAAAAAAAUACCUGGUUUAGGAGUCAGAAACUGUGAGCCUCAGUUGUACUUUACCUCUCUAGAAUCAUUUCUAUAAAUUCUAAAAUGAGGGUUUGGAUUAGUGAAGGGUUAAGAUUUCUUUCAGCUGUAACAUUUCAUUAGGAUUCUAUAAUGGUUAGAAAGUGCAAAGAAAGCAGCUGGUCUAUUUUGAUGCAUGAUAGAAAUAAAAACCAAAAGAAAAUAUGAUUUGCAAUACUCAAGUAAAUGAUGUGUAAUCUUCUCCCCACCCCCAAGACUUUUGGUUCCCUUCCUGUCAGGUUUGGUAUAUGAAAUUUUUGAUCACUUAAAACAGUUGCAGUUUAUAAUUAGAACAAUUACCUGCUGGAGGGGUAAGCACAUACAAACAAAGUACAGGGACUCAUCUCACCUCAUGUAUUCUAAAAACAAGAAUUCUGAAAAAUGCAAGAAUUUUUAAUCACUACCACUUGGGAUGUUUUGAACUAAUUAGUCAUUUAGGUAAUACUUUUAAAGUGUUAUUCUACUUUGUGUUAAAAGAAGAAUUAAGCCUGGUGUGGUGGUGCAUGCCUGUAGUCCCAGCUACUGGGGAGGGUGAGGUAGGAGGAUCACUUGAGCCCAGGAGUUUGAGUCUAGCCUGGGCAACAUACUGAGAUCCUGUCCCUUAAAAAAAAAAGUGCAAUUAACCAUAAUUAAAAUGUUCUACACAAGAAAUCUUACUAUAGCAGAACGUUAUAUCACAACAUCCUCAAACAUAAUAGUUCUGACUAAAACCAAAUACCUUAUAAUUCUUCCCUCUCCUUUCUAUCUUCCCUCUGAACAGGAAGGGGUGGUGCUUAUUUAGCAUCCGGGUCAUGGUCUAUGGAUAUCCUUAAUGGCUGGCUUUGUAUCAUCUUCAAGGAAUCUGCCUUCUUGCCCUGGUGUGGUGGCUCAUGCCUGUAAUCCCAGCACUUUGGGAGGCUGAGGCGGGUGGAUCACUUAGGAGUUUGAGACCAGCCUGGGCAACAUGGAGAAACACUGUCUCUACUUAAAACAGAAAAAUUAGCUAGGCAUGGUGGUGCAUGCCUGUAGUCCCAGCUACUUGGGAGGCUGAGGCGGGAGGAUCACCUGAACCUGGGACAUGGAGGUUGCAGUGAGUUGGGAUCGCACCAUGCCACUGCACUCCAGCCUCGGCCACAGGGCAAGACCCUGUCUCAAAAAAAAAAAACAAAAAAACAAAAAAAAGAGAGAGAGAAUUCUGCCUUCCUUUUAUUUCAUUUUUAUUUCAGAAGAAUAACAGAAUUCAACGGAACUAAGUCUAGCUUUUGUUUUCUUCUUCUCUUUAGCAAGUUCCUUAGCUCCUUCAGUCCUUCUGCUAAGUGAGCACGGUGUUUAUAAAGAGAGACGAUUUAAAGAUGACUGAAGACAGAUGUUAAAUUUGAAUGGUUUCUUACUUUCCUAGUUUCACAAGUUAGGGUCUUAGAAGUUGCCAAGCAGUACUAGGAUACUCCUCUAGGACUGAGAUGUGCAAUUCCGAGCAAAUGUGCAGUGUGCAGUAUUGAUUUCCAGCCUCCUUUUAAACUCCUUCAAGUCUGUGCUAUUAAACGGAGACAACCACAUCAAGAUAGAGUCUGUCAUAGGAUUCCCUGAAGCACAGAAUGAGAAGGAGACUGAGCAAACACGACCCGGGAAGGCACCAGUUGAACCAAGACAACUCUGUAAGACAAAAAACAUGCAGUUUUAAACAUUCACGUAUCACCAGCAGACCACCACCUGUAUGCCGGAAGGAAUCUGCUCUGCAUUAAAAAGUACUUAUAAUAAAUGCACCCUGGAAGGCCUAGAAACUGGCUUUCAAUAAACAGUGACAAUCUGGAGAC